UUUACUGUUACGAGAAAACCAAAUAAGUUGGAAACUAAUCUAAUCUCACAACUCCUCACGAUCCCUACCAUUCAUUUGAUUUUUUUUUAAAGGAAUGCGUGGAUCGACAUGGAAACGAGACACACAAAUGAAGAGAAUGAUUCAUUUUUCGUCUUGCCACUCAUUACCAUACCACAUUAAUUUUACUAUCAAUUAUUCAUGAAUUGGUUCCAACCAAGCCCUAGAUCUGUUAUUUCUUCAUGGCGAUUUUCAGCCAAUAUGCUAUUGGUCUUUCUGGCGCCAUCAUCAUAUCAUUCUUCAUCAUCAUGGAAGGUGUUAUUUUCGACUCUGAUUUCAAGUACGCUAUUUGCGCCUCUCGCUAACGUAUAUUUUUUACUUUUUUGGGUAAUAUUUAUUUGAUGAAAAAUCCUAGAAUCCAUUGUGAAUUUGUGAAUUAAAGGAUCGGUUAAGAUGUUUUGAAUUAAAAAGGAUUAAGUUCUGGUUUUUAGUUUUCUUAUUUCUAGUCUAGUUUAAUCUUUAAAAAAAUGAAAAAAAAAAAAAAAGUUUUGGACCUUGUGAUUUUUAUAUAAUCGUUCUGAGAUCUUGGGUGAAGACAUCCAUUGCUGCACUUGUAUUUAUUUAACUCUUGAGUGUAUAAUUUACAUCUUAUGUCUAUAAUUAAAGAUUUUAAAUUGUUGGCUUAAUUUCAACGAUUUGAAUUGUCAUAUAGGAUUUCUCGUUCGAUUAUAGUCUUCAAUUCAUGAUAUGGAUUUUGUUGGGAUUAUUGUGUAUCAUUUUGCUCAUGAAACUAUCAUUCUCAAAUUCAAUUUCUUAUUAGAGAUGUUAUUUGAUAAUUUUGGUUAUUUGCUUUCCUAUUAAUGAAGAUGUUGUAUGUUUAAUUGUUACGGGAUGAAUUUGAGGCUGAAAUUGAAGAACAAGCAAAGGAAGUUGUGUUGGUGGAAAGGAAGGAAAGUCCCUAGUUCUUCAUUUCACGUGUCCCGUGGCAAAGAUUAUUAGAUUUUUCUUUAUGGAAACAAUUCUUACUAGAAAUUCACAAAUUUCUGAAUUACUAUUCUUAAUCUUAACUCGGAAGAUUUCGAUAUGAUCAGUAACGAAGAGUCCACAACUUUUUUCCCUUGCUUAUCGAAUUUGUGUCUACCAAUUGUAUAGAAAAAUGAUAGAUAGAUAAUGUUCAAAGUAUUGAGAGAUUUCAGUAGUGCUAUUUUGCGAUCUAAUACAACUAUGAUGGAUUUAUAGGUUUCUCACCCAGUCUGAACUUCUAAAAUAUGUUUCACUCCUAAUUUUUUACAUUUAUUUUCUUAACUCGUCUAGAGGUGUGUGUUUUCCGGUUCAUUUUUUUCUGAUCUUCCAUUGAAGAGUGCAUGGCAAUGGUACACAAUAUGGAAGGAAAAGCAAAGGGAAGCCGGUUUUAUUGCUAUGUAUGCAACUUUCUUUGUAACAAAGAUGUAUGUACAGUCUUGUUUCGGUUAAAGACGGAACAUUACAAUUGAAAAUGACCUAUGUAUAAUUAUGAAAUUUGGCGAUAAAAAAUCGUGGGAUGCCAUGACAAAGAUUCUGGGGUUGUUUUUUCAUUGAUAUAUGCAAAAAUUGGAUUAAAGUCGUUAGAACUGCUGAAAUAAUGUUCAUCAAUUUUUAGCUAGUGCAGUGACUAUGGAUUCGUUGAUGGUAUUGUUUAUGAGAUUCUUUUUGUUCAUUUUAACACAUUGAUGUUCUGUUUGGGGAGUAUUGUGUAUUGUUAAGUGUCA
rnacentral:lncRNA from 1 species